rnacentral:rRNA from 1 species
UGCCAGCAGCCGCGGUAAUACGGAGGGGGCAAGCGUUAACCGGAAUUAUUGGGCGUAAAGGGCGCGUAGGCGGACUGAAAAGUCAGAUGUGAAAGCCUACUGCUUAACAGUAGAAUAGCAUUUGAAACUCUUAGUCUUGAGGAUAGGCGGCGGAAGUGGAAUUCUGAGUGUAGCGGUGAAAUGCGUAGAUAUUCAGAGGAACACCUGUGGCGAAAGCGACUUCCGAGCUUAUAACUGACGCUGAGGCGCGAAAGCGUGGGUAGCAAACAGGAUUAGAUA